UACAGAGGGUGCAAGCGUUGUCCGGAAUUAUUGGGCGUAAAGAGCUCGUAGGCGGUCUGUCGCGUCUGCUGUGAAAACUCAGGGCUUAACCCUGAGCUUGCAGUGGGUACGGGCAGACUAGAGUGCGGUAGGGGAGACUGGAAUUCCUGGUGUAGCGGUGAAAUGCGCAGAUAUCAGGAGGAACACCGGUGGCGAAGGCGGGUCUCUGGGCCGUAACUGACGCUGGAGGAGCGAAAGCAUGGGGAGCGAACAGG
rnacentral:rRNA from 1 species